GGGGGUGUAGCUCAGUUGGGAGAGCAACUGCUUUGCAAGCAGAAGGUCGUCGGUAACGAAGCCGACCACUUCCACCA
rnacentral:tRNA from 1 species